CAAGCGGUCCAAAACGGAUCAGUUUUUCCCUAAUGCAUUCUGAAUGGAAAAGGAUCUGCUCAGAAUGCAUCAGUUUGCCUCCUUUCAGUCACCAUUCCGCUCUGGAGGUGGUCACCAAAACGCUACCUGCCGCGUUUUGCUGUCUGCCUGACAUAACUGAGGCAAACUGA